UACGUAGGGUGCGAGCGUUGUCCGGAAUUAUUGGGCGUAAAGGGCUCGUAGGCGGUUUGUCGCGUCGGGAGUGAAAACACGGGGCUUAACUCGGUGCUUGCUUUCGAUACGGGCAGACUAGAGGUAUGCAGGGGAGAACGGAAUUCCUGGUGUAGCGGUGAAAUGCGCAGAUAUCAGGAGGAACACCGGUGGCGAAGGCGGUUCUCUGGGCAUUACCUGACGCUGAGGAGCGAAAGUGUGGGGAGCGAACAGG
rnacentral:rRNA from 1 species